CCUACGGGAGGCUGCAGUGGGGAAUUUUGCGCAAUGGGGGCAACCCUGACGCAGCAACGCCGCGUGAGUGGUGAAGGCCUUCGGGUCGUAAAGCUCUGUCAGAGGGGAAGAAAUGCAGGUGGUGAACAACCAUUCUGUUUGACGGUACCCUCAAAGGAAGCACCGGCUAACUCCGUGCCAGCAGCCGCGGUAAUACGGAGGGUGCGAGCGUUGUUCGGAAUUAUUGGGCGUAAAGCGCGUGUAGGGGGUUUGUUAAGUCGGAUGUAAAAGCCCCGGGCACAACCGGGAAAGUGCAUUGGAUACUGGCAGACUAGAGUACGGGAGAGGAGAGUGGAAUUCCAGGUGUAGGAGUAAAAUCCGUAGAUAUGGGGAGGAACACCGG
rnacentral:rRNA from 1 species